rnacentral:lncRNA from 1 species
CUCAAUUUUGUUGAUCAGAGCAAGAAUUCAGUUUUUUUCCUCGUUUUGGCGAAGAAGGUGAUCGAUUAAUUCUACUGAUUUCUGAUGAGAAGAGCAACUGGUGUGAUGAAUUCCAGACACGAGACUUAUUAACCAUGGGAACUUCGCCGAUUAGAGUUUUAGCUGCUAACUCAGAACAUGAGUUGGCCCAUGUAUCCCCAGGAGGCAAGUCUGAAGCGGAAACUGAAAUUGCAUUAGAUGACGGCACAGUCAUACGCAUCAUGUGGAUUUGGAGAAGAAAGAUCUCUAAGAAGCCAAAAUAGUAGAACCUUUAUGCUUAUUGUCAUCUGAUUUUUUU